rnacentral:rRNA from 1 species
GAUGAACGCUGGCGGCGUGCCUAAUACAUGCAAGUCGAGCGAACAGACGAGGAGCUUGCUCCUUCGACGUUAGCGGCGGACGGGUGAGUAACACGUAGGUAACCUACCUAUAAGACUGGGAUAACUUCGGGAAACCGGAGCUAAUACCGGAUAAUAUUUCGAACCGCAUGGUUCGAUAGUGAAAGAUGGCUUUGCUAUCACUUAUAGAUGGACCUGCGCCGUAUUAGCUAGUUGGUAAGGUAACGGCUUACCAAGGCAACGAUACGUAGCCGACCUGAGAGGGUGAUCGGCCACACUGGAACUGGGACACGGUCCAGACUCCUACGGGAGGCAGCAGUAGGGAAUCUUCCGCAAAGGGCGAAAGCCUGACGGAGCAACGCCGCGUGAGUGAUGAAGGUCUUCGGAUCGUAAAACUCUGUUAUUAGGGAAGAACAAACGUGUAAGUAACUGUGCACGUCUUGACGGUACCUAAUCAGAAAGCCACGGCUAACUACGUG